GACGAAGGGGGCUAGCGUUGUUCGGAAUUACUGGGCGUAAAGAGCACGUAGGUGGUUGGAUAAGUCAGAUGUGAAAUCCCCGGGCUUAACCUGGGAACUGCAUUUGAGACUGUUCAGCUAGAGUUUAGUAGAGGGAAGUGGAAUUCCACAUGUAGCGGUGAAAUGCGUAGAGAUGUGGAGGAACACCAGUGGCGAAGGCGGCUUCCUGGACUAAAACUGACACUGAGGUGCGAAAGCGUGGGGAGCAAACAGG
rnacentral:rRNA from 1 species